rnacentral:rRNA from 1 species
AUACGGAGGGUGCAAGCGUUGUUCGGAAUCACUGGGCGUAAAGGGCGCGCAGGCGGUUUGGUAAGUCAGAUGUGAAAGCCUACGGCUCAACCGUGGAAGUGCAUUUGAAACUGCCAGACUUGAGUACCAGAGGGGAAAGUGGAAUUCCCGGUGUAGAGGUGAAAUUCGUAGAUAUCGGGAGGAAUACCGGUGGCGAAGGCGACUUUCUGGCUGGAUACUGACGCUGAGGCGCGAAAGCGUGGGGAGCAAACAGGAUUAGAAACCCCGGUAGUCC